AACGAACGCUGGCGGCAGGCCUAACACAUGCAAGUCGAACGAGAAACCAGAGCUUGCUCUGGCGGACAGUGGCAGACGGGUGAGUAACGCGUGGGAAAUUACCCAGUAGUAGGGAACAACAGUUGGAAACGACUGCUAAUACCUUAUACGCCCUUCGGGGGAAAGAUUUAUCGCUAUUGGAGAUGCCCGCGUCGGAUUAGCUAGUUGGUGAGGUAACGGCUCACCAAGGCGACGAUCCGUAGCUGGUCUGAGAGGAUGAUCAGCCACACUGGGACUGAGACACGGCCCAGACUCCUACGGGAGGCAGCAGUGGGAAUAUUGCACAAUGGGCGCAAGCCUGAUGCAGCCAUGCCGCGUGAGUGAUGAAGGCCUUAGGGUUGUAAAACUCUUUCACCGGUGAAGAUAAUGACGGUAACCGGAGAAGAAG
rnacentral:rRNA from 1 species